rnacentral:rRNA from 1 species
GAAACCAACAGGGAUUGCCUCAGUAACGGCGAGUGAAGCGGCAACAGCUCAAAUUUGAAAUCUGGUCAUUUUUAGUGAUCCGAGUUGUAAUUUGUAGAGGAUGCUUUGGGUGCGACCGCGGCGCAAGUCCCUUGGAACAGGGCGUCGCAGAGGGUGAGAACCCCGUCUUGAGUCGCUGGUACGCGCCCGUGCAAAGCUCCUUCAACGAGUCGAGUUGUUUGGGAAUGCAGCUCAAAGUGGGUGGUAAAUUUCAUCUAAAGCUAAAUAUUGGCCGGAGACCGAUAGCGCACAAGUAGAGUGAUCGAAAGGUUAAAAGCACCUUGAAAAGGGAGUUAAAAAGCACGUGAAAUUGUUGAAAGGGAAGCGCUUGCGAUCAGACUCGGACGCGGUAGUUCAGCGGGCAUUUUUUGCCCGUGCACUCUGCCGUGCUCCGGGCCAGCAUCAGUUUCGACGGCCGGUCAAAGGCCCCUGGAAUGUGUCGUCCUCCGGGACGUCUUAUAGCCAGGGGUGCAAUGCGGUCAGUUGGGACUGAGGAACGCGCUUCGGCACGGAUGCUGGCGUAAUGGUCGUAAGCGACCCGUCUUGAAACACGGACCAAGGAGUCUAACAUCCACGCGAGUGUUCGGGUAGUAAACCCGUGCGCGUAGUGAAAGCGAACGGAGGUGGGAGCCCGUAAGGGUGCACCAUCGACCGAUCCUGAUGUCUUCGGAUGGAUUUGAGUAGGAGCGUGGCUGUUAGGACCCGAAAGAUGGUGAACUAUGCCUGAAUAGGGUGAAGCCAGAGGAAACUCUGGUGGAGGCUCGCAGCGGUUCUGACGUGCAAAUCGAUCGUCAAAUUUGGGUAUAGGGGCGAAAGACUAAUCGAACCAUCUAGUAGCUGGUUCCUGCCGAAGUUUCCCUCAGGAUAGCAGUAACGUUUUCAGUUUUAUGAGGUAAAGCGAAUGAUUA